GAUGAACGCUGGCGGCGUGCCUAAUACAUGCAAGUCGAGCGAACCACUUCGGUGGUGAGCGGCGAACGGGUGAGUAACACGUAGGUGAUCUGCCCAUCAGACGGGGACAACGAUUGGAAACGAUCGCUAAUACCGGAUAGGACGAAAGUUUAAAGGUGCUUCUGGCACCGCUGAUGGAUGAGCCUGCGGCGCAUUAGCUAGUUGGUAGGGUAAAGGCCUACCAAGGCGACGAUGCGUAGCCGACCUGAGAGGGUGAACGGCCACACUGGGACUGAGACACGGCCCAGGCUCCUACGGGAGGCAGCAGUAGGGAAUCUUCGGCAAUGGGCGAAAGCCUGACCGAGCAACGCCGCGUGAAUGAUGAAGGCCUUCGGGUUGUAAAAUUCUGUUAUAAGGGAAGAACGACUUUAGUAGGAAAUGGCUAGAGUGUGAUGGUACCUUAUGAGAAAGCCACGGCUAACUACGUGCCAGCCGCCGCAGUAAUAC
rnacentral:rRNA from 1 species